UGAAUUAUUAAAGGGCCGCGGUAUUUCUGACCGUGCGAAGGUAGCAUAAUCAUUAGUCUUUUAAUUGAAGGCUUGUAUGAAAGGUUGGACGAGAGAGAAGCUGUCUCAAUUAGAAUUUUGAAAUUAACUUUUAAGUGAAAAGGCUUAAAUACAUUGAAAAGACGAUAAGACCCUAUAAAUCUUAAUAUUAACACAGCUUAAGUCCUUAAUUUAUUUAUUAACAGGGAUAUUAAACUGGGAGUAUUCUGUUGGGGCGACAAUAAUAUAAAAUGAUUAUCUGUUUUACUUUUAAUACAAUUAUUUUUGUUCAGGAAGAUCCCCCUUAGGGAUUAAAAGAUCAAGUUACUUUAGGGAUAACAGCGUUAUUCUUCUUGAGAGUCCUCAUCGAAAGGAGAGUUUGCGACCUCGAUGUUGAAUUAAAAUUUCU
rnacentral:rRNA from 1 species